rnacentral:lncRNA from 1 species
AAAAGACAAUGGAGGAAUGGUCUUCAUUUCCAGGGGCAUCUGCUUCCCAAAAUGAAACAUUUGGAAGUUUUUUGAGGGCUCAAGAAGGGAGCUCUAAAAUGCAACAUGUGAAGUGAGGUUAUUUAAAUUCUGAUCUAACUGUGUGGCCUAUCUUCAUGCCUGCAUUAAAAUUGUUCAGACUUUGACCAUCCACCCCCGUCAUUUUGUUUGGAUUAGCUGAGGGCUCCACUUGUGUGGUACGUUUUGAUUUUGUCUGACACAGUGUUCCCAUCCCAUCCUCCCUCAAGUAGGUCUGGAGGAAAAAAUGUACUUAGCUGAGAAGUCACAAUCUCUGCUUUUUAUGCUUCCAAGGAAACUUAACAGGAAAUGGCUUUGCUUUGCCAUAUUUAGGAUAGAUUAGAGUACAGAUUCAGGGAGUUUUCCUCAAGUUACAUUUUACACAGAAACUCAAGGACAAAUGCAAAGAAAGAAGUGGUCUCAGAAUCCAACUCCAGGAUGCUUACAGGGUCUGAUUAAAGCUUUCCAUCUGACAGAUGAGGGAAUUAAUUUCUGGUAAGAGAAAAGGUUUUACUCAAAGCUGCAUAAUGAACUACUGAUGGCUUAACAACCAGGACUAGAGCCCAGGUCUCUUGUUGCUCUUAUGCAUAAAAUAGAAAUUCAGCUAAAACAUACACUACCAAUCCAUAAAGUCAUAUGCUUUCAUUUUUAGCUCUCAUUCCAAUGCAGUGACCAAAAAUUGUAUUUCUCAGGUUUGGUCACCUGUGUCCUCAUGUGUGUGUGAAGGAUGGGUACAGGGAACAAUGCAGAGAAUAUGGGCUUCUCAGGAAUCAUCACAGAGGGAGUUCUGUGGGGUCUAUACAGAGUGAAAACAGCAAAGGGCAAUAUUUCAACAGGGGAAACUGGUAUGGUUGACCUAGAUGUGGGCAUCUCAGCAUCCUUCCCUUCAUGGGGUCUUAGUAAGGUGCAUUAUUGGGCCUGACUCCCACAGGUAACUGACUUAUAUUUUCUAACUUGUCAAGAGACUGUCUUUUGAUAUUUUAGAGUACAGAAGGAUGUUAUAGAUUGUAUCCGUGUUCUGGCCAGCUGGCACAAAUAACAUUAUCAUGAUCACUUAUCAUGGUUCCUUAAUUUGAAAAACUGUUUCAGUUUAAAAAGAGCUUUCAUAUUCAUUAUCUUAAUGACAUUCAUUUCAUUUCCUGCUUUACCUAAUGCUACCUGGCAACAUUGUCCAGGUCUGACUUCUCUAAGGGAUGUCUGCUGAGGGUAGCCGUAGGUGUUGUCCGUCUUGGUUCUACCACAGUGCCAGGAGCUUGUUUUGCAAACAGUGAGCAUGUCUUACCAGUGAUUUUCCAAUGCUAUUUUGACUCCCCAAAAGCAACCUUGUAGGUUAGGUGAGGCCAGAAAUGUUGCCAUUUAAUUAACCAAGGCUAAAAGAGGCAAUAGGCCUUGUCUAAGGAUCAGCCCAUCCCCCAUCAUUUCCUCCUUUUUAUCCAGGCCAAUAAUUCACAGAUGCCUUUGUUUCACUCAACAUCCCUGUCUUCCCCUGGGUAACGCCUGGUUAUUCCAAGAUUCAUUUCAGAGUAUUUCUGCUCUAAAAUAAUACUAUGAUAUGAGACCUUGACAUACUCUCUUCUGUCUUCUCUCAAAGUAAUUCUGAUGAUAUAUAGAGACAAAAACUCAUUGAAAAGCCCCUAAUACAGAACUCUGAAACUCUUGCAAGAAAUUGAAGGAAAUUUCACUUGCUGCAUGAUAUCGUUUGCCUCCUUUUCCCCACCCAAAUCUCAUGUUGAAUUGUAAUCCCUGAUUUUGGAGGUAGUGCCUGGUGAGAGGCGAUUGAAUCAUGAAGAUGGUUUCUAAUGGUUUAGGACCAUCCCCCUAGUGCUGUCUCAUGAUAGAGUUCUCACAAGAUCUGGUUGUUUAAAAGUAUGUAGCACCUCCCACUUCAUUCUCUUCUUCCUGCUCCAGCCAGGUAGGACAUGCUGGCUUCCCCUUCAACUUCCACCGUGAUUGUAAUUUUCUUGAGGUGUCCCCAGCCAUUCUUCCUGUACAGCCUGUGGAACCGUGAUCCAGUUAAACCUCUCUUCUUUAUAAAUUACCCAGUCUGAGGUAUUUCUGUACAGCAGUGUGGGAACAAACUAAUACACUGCAAAACUUCAGCAAUUCAACAAAGAAUCACAAUUUAUGGCUGUUGUGGUCACAUUGCUCUUUGAAAUGAGAUAGGUCCACUGGUUAAAAAAGAGGUAAGAAAAUGCUUUGUCACAUCCCACUCAUGUAUAUAGCUAUUUUUUUUUUGUCAUAGACUCAGAGUUUGGGUCCACCAGAAAAGAAUGUUAUUUUUCAAAUGAAUAGGGCCAGCUUAUUGAAAGGUAAGAUAUUGUAUCUCAUCCAAGG